rnacentral:lncRNA from 1 species
GUCGUAUCCAUUAGGGUGAUCGGGACGGGUCGUGUCAAUUGGUAUCAGAGCAUGGUUAUAAAGUCAGUUUGCAUGGUUUACUUAAAUUUUGUUCUCAUCAUAUCAUACAUAUUUUGUAGUUGGAAGUCAUGGCUCGUGGUAAUAAGACACGCAGGCUCCAAGAUAUGUCGUCUCAACCACCAGCUGCUCCUGAUAGGGAUGCCAGUAGGGUCGAGGAAUCAGUUCAUCCGACCUAUGAUCAGCGGAGAUAUGGGGAUGUAGCCCAGCCUGACUUAAUAGCUGAUAGGAUUGCCACUGCUGUUGCUUCUGCUCUACGCAAUACAGAUAAAGAUUAUAGUAUAGAGCGGGCUACUAAAUUAGGAGCUAAAGUAUUUACAGGCACAGCUGAUCCAGUAGAUGCAGAAUCGUGGAUGGUGAGGAUAGAAAGAAUAUUUGAUGUCAUGGAUUGCCCUGAUGAUCGAAAAUUACGAUUAGCUACCUUCUUGUUAGAAGGAAGUGCUUAUGAUUGGUGGAAAUCCGUACAGGGUAAAUAUGUUGAUCCUUCUGUGAUCACGUGGGGCGAGUUUAAAGAUGAUUUUAAUGAGCAUUUCUACCCUCGUUCUUAUAAGACUGACAAACAGAAUGAAUUUUUGAGACUAGUACAGACAUCAACAGUGGCAGAGUAUCAGAAGAAAUUUCUAGAAUUGUCAAAGUAUGCUGCUGCUCUGGUAGCUGAUGAAGUUGAUAAAUGCAGAAGAUUUGAGUAUGGCCUGAAAGAAGAAAUUAGAUCAGUGGUGACUGCAUCUGGGUAUGAAAAUUUGGGUAAACUUGUAGAAGCAGCAUUAAGGGUUGAGAAAAGUUUGUCUGAACGACAUGGUAGUCAACAACAAAUGAGACUGGGAAUUGGAAGCAGUAGUCAGUCAUGGGCAGGAAGAUCUAUGAUUAGGCCAUCGAGGAGGGAUCGCAGAGGAGGUGGAUUAGGUAUUUCCACUUCUGGUAGUUUUAAGUCCAGAUCUCAUGGCAGUCAGGGCUCGAGGUCGAGUCAGGGAUCAGUACAGCAGCCAGGGAGUAACCGUACUCAGACUCAGAGAUCUUCUCAGAGAUCAUUUACUCCUGGACAGAGUGAUAGCUCUGGUGUGGCCAGAUUUCCCCAGUGUCAGUUGUGUGGGAAAUUUCACCCUGGUGAGUGUCUUAAGGGAAUUGGAGUGUGUUAUCAUUGUGGUCAGACGGGACACAUGAGGAGAGAGUGUCCAGUUCGUUUCCAGCAGGGUAGCAUACCACAGGGGGUUUCCUUACAGUCAGGUGCUGGCAUUGCUAGACAGAAUCAGAAUCAGAAUAUUUUGGCAGGCAAAGCAGGUGCUACUAGUGCUACUCAGUCUGAUGCUGCUGGCAGCAGUGGUACUAGACAGAAAAGCCAGGUUGGACGACCCAAAACUCAGGGAAGAGUGUUUGCAGUGACACAGCAUGAUGCCGAUGAGUCACCAGAUGUGGUUAUGGGUACGUUAUCUAUUUUUGGCAAGAAGGCUCGUUCUUUAAUAGAUUCAGGUGCUACACAUUCAUUUAUAUCUUAUGCAUUUGCUAUUUAUGCGGACCAUAUGUCAGAAUCAUUAGAUAGUGAUUUGGUGGUAGCAACUCCUGUAGGAGAUUCACUUUUAGCUAACAGUGUGUACAAAGAUUGCGUGAUUAGUGUGAAUGAUCAUGAGUUGAAAGCUAAUUUGAUUCCACUUGAUAUUCAUGAUUUUGAUGUGAUAUUGGGCAUGGAUUUUUUGUCUGUGAAUCAUGCAUCAGUUGAUUGUUUUCGCAAAGAAGUGGUGUUUCGAAGGCCAGGAGAGCCUGAAAUCAUUUUUAGUGGUGAACGGAGAAUACUACCUUCAUGUAUCAUAUCAGCACUUGAUGCUGGGAGAUUGCUUAGAAAAGGUUGCCAAGCAUAUUUAGCUCAUGUGAUUGACACUCAGAUCACUAAAUUGAAACUUGAAGAUAUACCAGUGGCAAAAGAUUUCCCUGAUGUUUUUCCUGAAGAUCUUCCAGGGUUACCUCCUGAUAGGGAAAUCGAGUUUACUAUUGAUUUGAUUCCAGGGACUACCCCUAUUUCACAAUCACCUUACAGAAUGGCUCCAGCAGAGUUGAAGGAAUUGAAAGUUCAGUUGCAGGAUUUAGUUGAUAAGGGUUUCAUUAGACCCAGUGUAUCUCCAUGGGGAGCUCCAGUCUUGUUUGUGAAGAAGAAAGAUGGCACAAUGAGAUUGUGUGUUGACUACAGACAGUUGAAUAAAGUGACAGUUCGCAACAAGUAUCCGUUGCCUCGCAUUGAUGAUUUGUUUGACCAACUUAGAGGUGCCUCAGUGUUUUCGAAAAUUGAUUUACGUUCAGGUUAUCAUCAGCUCAGAAUUAGAGAUGUUGAUGUACCGAAGACUGCUUUUCGGUCACGGUAUGGCCAUUAUGAGUUUUUGGUGAUGCCAUUUGGGUUAACUAAUGCCCCUGCAGCGUUUAUGGAUUUGAUGAAUAGAGUGCUUCGCCCAUAUUUAGACAGAUUUGUGAUUGUUUUUAUUGAUGAUAUCUUAGUUUAUUCUCGCAGUAGGGAUGAGCAUGCUGAGCAUUUGAGGAUUAUUUUGCAAACCUUGCGAGAUAAGCAGUUGUAUGCUAAGUUCAGCAAAUGUGAAUUUUGGCUGGAUAAAGUUGUAUUUUUAGGUCAUGUUAUCUCAGCUGAAGGUAUUUAUGUAGAUCCUCAGAAAAUUGAAGCAGUAAUGAAAUGGGAACGCCCUACUAAUGUUACAGAAGUACGGAGUUUUCUUGGGUUAGCAGGUUAUUAUCGUCGAUUUGUAGAGCAUUUUUCCAAAAUUGCUCUUCCUUUGACUAGUUUGACUCGAAAGAACUCCAAAUUUGUGUGGACUGAUGAAUGUGAAAAGAGUUUUCAAGAGUUGAAGAAAAGAUUAGUUUCUGCUCCUAUACUUACUCUUCCAUCUCCAGGUGAGGAGUUUGUGAUUUAUAGUGAUGCUUCACGCCAAGGAUUGGGUUGUGUUUUAAUGCAAAAUGGGAAAGUUGUAGCUUAUGCUUCAAGACAAUUGAAGAAGCAUGAGUUAAAUUACCCAACUCAUGAUUUGGAGUUAGCUGCAGUAGUGUUGGCAUUGAAGAUUUGGAGACAUUAUCUUUAUGGUGAGAAAUGUCAAAUAUUUACUGAUCACAAAAGUUUAAAGUAUAUAUUUGAUCAGAAAGAACUGAAUCUAAGGCAAAGGAGAUGGCUGGAGUUGAUAAAGGAUUAUGAUUGUAACAUUGACUACCAUCCGGGGAAAGCAAAUGUAGUUGCAGAUGCUCUCAGUAGAAAGACAAGUUCAGCUUCUCCAUCAAGUGCAGUUUAUGCUUCUUUGAUUUGUGAGUUCAAGAAGUUACACACUGAGUUGACAACUACUACUUCAGGGGCAAUAUUAGCUCAUUUUCAGGUGAGGCCUACUUUGAUUGAUAAGGUUAGAGAAGCUCAAUCUCAAGACCAGACAUUGAGAAUAUUGAAAGCAGAAGUUAGUACUGGGUUAAGAACGGAUUAUGUGAUUAGAGAUGAUGGGGCGUUGGCUAUGGGUAAUAGAUUAUGUGUUCCAGAUAUUCCAGAAUUGAAGAAAGAGAUUUUGGAAGAAGCNUGGAGUUGAUAAAGGAUUAUGAUUGUAAGAUUGACUACCAUCCGGGGAAAGCAAAUGUAGUUGCAGAUGCUCUCAGUAGAAAGACAAGUUCAUCUUCUCCAUCAAGUGCAGUUUAUGCUUCUUUGAUUUGUGAGUUCAAGAAGUUACACACUGAGUUGACAACUACUACUUUAGGGGCAAUAUUAGCUCAUUUUCAGGUGAGGCCUACUUGGAUUGAUAAGGUUAGAGAAGCUCAAUCUCAAGACCAGACAUUGAGAAUGUUGAAAGCAGAAGUUAGUACUGGGUUAAGAACGGAUUAUAUGAUUAGAGAUGAUGGGGCGCUGGCUAUGGGUAACAGAUUAUGUGUCCCAAAUAUUCCAGAAUUGAAGAAAGAGAUUUUGGAGGAAACCCACAGUUCUGCUUAUGCUAUGCAUCCAGGCAGUAUUAAAAUGUAUCAUACAUUGAAGGAUCAUUAUUGGUGGCUUGGUAUGAAGAAAGAGAUAGCAGAUUUUGUAUCCAAAUGUCUUAUAUGUCAACAGGUAAAGCCAGUUCGUCAGAAAACAGCAGGACUUUUACAGCCAUUGCCAUCCCAGAAUGGAAAUGGGAACACAUUACUAUGGACUUUUUAUUUGGUCUUCCUCGUACUCAAAAUGGUCAUGAUGGAGUUUGGGUGAUUGUCGAUCGUUUGACCAAAACUGCCAAGUUCUUGCCGAUCAAAGCCACUUAUACUUUAAAUAAGUUGGCAAAGUUGUAUGUGGAUGAAAUAGUGAGCUCUUAUGGUACUCCCUUAUCUAUUGUGUCAAAUAGAGACCCUCGUUUUACAUCUAAAUUUUGGCCCAGUUUGCAGGAAGCCAUGGGUACUAAACUACAUUUCAGUACAGCUUUUCAUCCUCAGACAGAUGGCCAGUCAGAGAGGACCAUACAGACUCUUGAGGAUAUGUUGAGGGCUUGUGUUUUAGAGCUAAAGGGUAGUUGGGAUACUCAUUUGUCAUUGAUGGAGUUUGCUUACAAUAACAGUUAUCACUCUAGUAUAGAAAUGGCUCCUUUUGAAGCUUUAUAUGGUCGGAAGUGCAGGACACCAGUUUGUUGGGAUGAAGAUGGUAAGAGGAAGUUAAAAGGCCCGGAAUUGGUUGAAAUGACAUCUGAAAAUGUGAAAUUGAUUAAAGAAAAGUUGAAAGCAGCUCAUGAUAGACAGAAAAGUUAUGCGGAUAAGCGCAGGAAAGACCUUGAAUUUGCAGUAGGAGAUAAAGUUUUUCUUAAAUUAUCUCCUUGGAAAGGGGUGUUGAGAUUUGGCAAGCGAGGAAAGUUGAGUCCACGAUAUAUUGGACCUUAUGAGAUUAUUGAGCGGAUUGGUCCAGUUGCAUAUCGAUUAGAUCUGCCCAAUGAAUUAUCCCGGAUCCAUGAUGUUUUUCAUGUUUCCAUGCUUCGCAAGUACAUUGCUGAUCCUUCUCAUGUUCUGGAGUCUCAGCCAAUUCAGUUGAAGGAGAAUUUGACUUAUAUAGCAGAACCAGUGAAAAUUUUGGACAAGAAAGUGCAAACUCAACAAAACCAGACAAUUUCACUUGUUAAAGUACUUUGGCAGAAUCAUACAGUAGAAGAGGCUACAUGGGAGAAUGAGGAUCAGAUGCGUGCUCAAUAUCCUCGUUUAUUCAUUGCCUAGUCAGUUGCCAGUUGAAUUUCGAGGACGAAAUUCUUUUAAGGAGGUAAGAUUGUUACAACCCACAUUUUUAUCUAGUCAAAGUCAAUAGUGGAAUUUUCAAAGUCAAGUCCAAUGAGGACUUGUAUGAAAUAAAUCAUUUUUAUUGGGACUUGAUUGACCAAAUCAUUUUAUUUGGGUUUAUUUUGCAAUUGGCAAAAUAUAAAGGCUGAAUUGGAUAUAUUUAAAAGUUUGGAAUUUAUAUAUAUACUUUUGGAAGUUUAAGGAUUAAAGGUUACUAAAAAGUAAAGUUAAGGGACUUAAUUUGCAAUUAUGGGAUUGUGGACAAUUAAUUCAACCUUUGACCCAUUUUUUUUCUCAUUUUCACACCAAAACACACACACCCCCUACGAGAAGCAGAACCAGCCGAGAAAGAAGAGAAAAAGAGGAAAAGAAAAAGGGAAAAAAGGAAAAGAAAAAGGAAGAAGAAGGGGAAAAAGAAAAGGAAAGGAGGUAAGGUUGAUAUCUUCAAGUUGGGUUAAAUUUUUUCAUUUGUCUUAGAUGAUUAAGUAUGGUUUAUAUUAAAAUUUUUAGGGUUUUAUCAUGUAAUAAUAAAAUGUUAAAUUUAUGUGAUAUAUGUACGAUUUGGAGCUCAAGCUUAGGGAUUAAUUAUGUUUCAGUUUUAACAAGGUGUUUAGGCAAUGAAAAUUUUGGAAACCCUAGAAUCCGAUUUUGGGGAUUUUAAUUAAUUAAUUGUGGAAGUGAUUAUAUAAAUGGAAUAUUUCAUUUGGGAGUUGAUUUUAAGGAGCAAAUGUAUAUUAGAUGGGUGGAAAUUAUGGUCACUAGUUUCAUU